AGGAAAGGAGACAAGGGCACAUGAAGGAUGCCUUGGCUCUCGGAGGCGAAGAAGGACGUGAUAAGCUGCGAUAAGCCGCGGUUAGGGGCAAAUACCCAUUGACCCGCGGAUUUCCGAAUGGGGCAACCCGCCGGAGGCGACUCCGGCACUCCACCGACGUGGAGAGCGAACCCGGGGAACUGAAACAUCUCAUUACCCGGAGGAAAAGAAAAUAACAAUGAUUCCGCAAGUAGUGGCGAGCGAACGCGGAAGAGCCCAAACCGGGUCCGUUACGGCGGGUCCGGGGUUGUAGGACCGGUCGACAAAGUCACGUGCCAGCGAUAGUGGAAAUGACUGGAAAGUCAUGCCGCAGCGGGUGAAAGCCCCUUACACGAAAUCGCUUGUGCGGACGAGACCGGCACCUGAGUAGCGCGGGACACGAGAAAUCCUGUGUGAAUCUGCGGGGACCAUCCCGUAAGGCUAAAUACUACCGAGAGACCGAUAGCGAACCAGUACCGUGAGGGAAAGGUGAAAAGAACCCCGAACAGGGGAGUGAAACAGACCCUGAAAUCAUGUGCCUACAAGCGGUCGGAGCCACUUCGUGUGGUGACGGCGUGCCUUUUGCAUAAUGAACCUACGAGUUGCCUUCGCCGGCGAGGCUAAGGGCAAGUAUGCCC
rnacentral:rRNA from 1 species